rnacentral:tRNA from 1 species
UAAGGUAUAACUCAGUGGUAGAGUGCUUGUCUAGCAUGCACAAAGCCCUGGUUUCAAUUUCCAGUACCAAAA